rnacentral:tRNA from 1 species
GCGGAUGUAGUUUAACGGUAGAAUGACUGGCUUCCAACCAGUCGGUGAGGGUUCGAUUCCCUUCAUCCGCU